UACGUAGGGUGCGAGCGUUAAUCGGAAUUACUGGGCGUAAAGCGUGCGCAGGCGGUUCGUUAAGUUCGAUGUGAAAGCCCCGGGCUCAACCUGGGAACUGCAUUGGAAACUGGCGAGCUUGAAUGCGGCAGAGGGGGGUGGAAUUCCGCGUGUAGCAGUGAAAUGCGUAGAUAUCUGGAGGAACACCGGUGGCGAAGGCGGCAUCCUGGACCAAUACUGACGCUGAGGAGCGAAAGCCAGGGGAGCAAACGGG
rnacentral:rRNA from 1 species